rnacentral:rRNA from 1 species
UACGUAGGGUGCAAGCGUUGUCCGGAAUUAUUGGGCGUAAAGAGCUCGUAGGCGGUUUGUUGCGUCGGCUGUGAAAUCCCGAGGCUCAACCUCGGGUCUGCAGUCGAUACGAGCAAACUAGAGUGUUGCAGGGAGACUGGGAAUUCCUGGUGAUAGCGGUGAAAUACGUAGAUAUCAGGAGGAACACCUGCGGUGUAGACGGCUUCUGGACGGUAACUGGACGCUGAAGGCACGAAAGCGUUGGGUAGCAAACAGG